AUGCUACUUUGAGUUGUGUACAAUUCUGUUUAUUUCAGGUAGUGUUAUGGACGAAUUUGACAGAGUUGGAGUCAAGGACGGGCAAAGGAAAACUUGCUGCCACCUCCACACAGAACUUGGGAAUUUCCAAGUUCAGCGUGGGCAUAAAAAGUUCCAAGAAUCAAUGUUGCCUCCUCCACGCCGAAUUUGAAGUUCUUCAAGUUCGGCGCCAGCUCAAGGCCUCCAAAGAAAAAUCGCACUGCCAUCUCCACGCCGAACUUGAGUUUUCUCAAGUUCGGCGUCAACUCAAGGAAAGCAAGGGGAGUGACGUGCAUCAAUCCACGCCGAACUUGGAUUUUUCCAAGUUCGGCGUCAACUCUUCUAACUCAAGUGGUCCCCAAUUCGUUCCAAAGGUUGCACUGAUUGAUUAAAUCAAUUUUGAUUUAAACUUUUAUUAGUUUUAGAAUUAGGAAAAGAUAUUAUUUUAGUUUUAAAAAAUAUAUUCUACAUUUAUUAGGAUUAGAUAUAAAAGAGAAAAGAAUCAGCCCUUCAGGCUAAUCUCUUCUCUUCUACCUCAUUCCGCAAUUUACAGUUUUCUGAAUCCUAGUUUUUCUCUCUGAACCAUGAGCAGCUAAACAUCCACUAUUAAGGUUAAG
rnacentral:lncRNA from 1 species